GAAAACAAAGUCACAUUAGUCUAUCAAACUAAAUUCACUAAACACCAUGAUUUGAAGUCUCCUUUAUAUACCUUAAAAUACCUUUAAUGAUCUUAAAAUACGAUGAUAUAGAGGAAGCUUGGAAUUUAGCACAAAUACAAACACUAAACAUAAUAUUAGGUGUACAUUCAUGUAAAUAAAUAAAGGAAGAACUAGAUUAGGACCCGGUAAAGAAUUUUUUACAAAAAAUAACCCACAUUUUAAAGGAAAUUUCUAAAAUAUUUCUGUUUUCAAAAAAAAUCUCAAACUACCUCACUUUUAGGAGGAGGCGCCAAUUCAAUUGGCGACUCCUCUUAAAAAUUGAAUUUAAUCUCAAACUAUCCCACUGUUUUUUUUAACGAUUUUUUUUUAAAAAUCGAUUUAAAACCGAACCGAUCCAUUUAUAAACCGAUUUUAAGAAAAUAAAUUAGUUUUAUUAAAAUGGUUUUAAGAUCCAAACUGAACCAUAUAUAUGGUUCAAUUUGGUUUGAUUUAUGAUCCAUG
rnacentral:lncRNA from 1 species